AGUUGAAUCCACUCUCCGUUGUUUAUUUGGCUUGCCCCAUUUUGAACACCAUCAGCAUUUCCAAGUUCAUUUCCCAGGGCACUUUAAUCUGGCCCAUGCUAGUACUGCAGGAUUUAAAUUACUGUAAUGAAAGGAGAAGUAAUGCACCUCGGACCAUUAGGCAAACUCCCUGACCAACCACCCAGCCUUCGCGUCUACCCACAAGACUCCUUGAGAAAUCAGACCUCCCGAUAAGUGGCCGUGCGCUUCCUCUUCUGUCAGUUCUGAGGAGCUACCAGGCUGCGUUGGAGGCAAGGACUUCUCAUCUCUGCGGAACUCCCACCCCUCCCCGCUGGAGAGAGAUCCUCACGCUGCUGCUCCCGCUGCCUCUGCGCCAUGGGAAGCAGGUGCCUGCUCCUGCUCUCGGGUCUCGGGGUCUUGCUGGCUGUGCCAGGACCGGAAGGCAGGAGCUCUGCAGCCCUCUGUCCUCAGUGCCCUGAGCAUGCCUCCUGCCACAACAGCACCCACUGCGCCUGUGAGGUUGGAUUCCAGUCCAGUUCUGGGAGGAGACACUUUCUCAGCUCCCAGGAGACAUGUGAAGACAUUGAUGAGUGUGCGACUGAGCUGCACAUGUGCAAGUAUGGAGCAUACUGUAGAAACAAAAUCGGAGGUUACAUCUGCAGCUGUGUGGCAGCACAUCCCAUCUUCAACUGGGUGGCUGGUUUGGUGGAUAUCGACCAUCCGGACUGUUAUGAGAACAGUGAAAGGAAAGCGUCCCCAGUGAAAACUCAGGAAAAUCUGAGGAAGACUAGAAGCCCAAGGGAAAUUGGAAGAGAAGGUACUAAAGUCCAAAGAGUGGAAUUCACUGUCUGGAAAUUGAAUUCUCCUGCUCCAGAAAAGCACAGACUUUCCCUGUUUGGUAUAGAUACUGCUUUGUGCGAGACCGGGCAGGCAAAGUGCCACGAUACGGCACAUUGUAAAAACAAAAUCGUAGCUAUUGUCUGCACUUGUGUGGUAAAGUACCCUUUCUUCAACUGGGAGGCUCGUUUGGUGGAUAUUGAUCAUCCAGAUUGUUACGGGAACUUAGGAAACAGAGGCACACACACAAAGGGACAAUGGCCACGUGUAGACAGAGACUGGAGUUACGCUGCCACAACCCCAGGAGGGACAGAGAUUGCUGGCAGCCACGAGAAACUAGAAGCAGCAAGGCAAGAUUCCUCCUUAGGACGUUCCUUAGAGGAAACAUGAUCCUACUGACACCUUGAUUAUGGACUUUUAACCUGCAGAGCUGUGAGACAGUAAAUAUAUGUUGCUUUAAGCCACCAGUUUGUGGCACCAUGUUAUGGCAGCCCCAGCAAACUAGUACACCUCACCUAUUCUUGUUUCGAACUUCUGACCUCUAGCAAUCUACCCACCUUGGCCUCCCAGAGUGCUAGGAUUACAGGCGUGUGCCACCGCGUCUGGCCCAACCUCACCUAUUCUUUAGGAUUACUAAUGCAUGUAAAAUAGCUAGCAGUCCUAGGUACCUCGUAAGGCUCAGUAAACAUUAAUUAGCUCUUAUGCUAUGUAAUUCUACUAUAGAAACUUCAGCAUUUUGUUAAAUGAGAUAGUGUAGGUAUAAUGUGUAGACAAUGGCUUCUAUAUUAUUAACUCAACACUGAUUCCUCCAAGAAGCCUUCUAUGUAACCCUGAUGUAUUGGGGUUCUCUGCUGUGUGUCUCUAUGUUAUCACUUCCUAUUUAUUAAAAGCAUCGUUUGCAAUCACUUGAUUAUUGUUUUGUAAUCAUUUGCUUAAUGCCUUUCCUUCCAGGCUGUAAACUGCACAAGAGGACACCCUUGGUCUCUUUUACUAACCUCUAUCCAUGUGGUUUAGCAUCAUGUCCAUUGUUGAGUAGGUGCUCAGCAAAUACUGCUGACUGAAGUAUUAAACUGGAAGCUGCCUUAAAAUUCCCUUUAAUAAUCUACUGUAGAACACAUUUUUGUAUUUCUUAGCAGGGAAUUGGGGUGGGCUGCAGAAACAGCAGGGAAAGCCCCAACUUGAGGCUGAUUGGGAGAAGGGAUGUGAGCGAGGGUGGGUUUUCUUCCAUAUCCCAUUUCAUGGCUACUUUUCCCUCCAGAGAAGAAUGAAGGCAAACAGUCACCUGUGAAUACUCAGGAAAAUCUGAUGGAGAAUGAAAGCAUAAAGGACCCCCUAAGAAAUGCUACUGAACUCCAGUCUAUACUACUGACUUUCUGGAAUGUGAGUUCUGAUUCUCCAGGAAAGGUUGAAAGUUCUGCAUUUUAUGGAGGUAAGAGGUGCAGAGUAGACUCCUGUGACCUCCACAGGGGUGUGGGUCCUGGCAUGGGCAGGGUCUAUGAAUGAUAAAAUCUAUGGUCCCCCAGCAUCACAGUCUUCCAUGCUAAUGAUACAGGAGUAGGGAUCUGCUUUCAAAAAUACAAAUUCAAGGGAUGCGAAAAUAAACCAUCUCUCUUCUCUAUUACAACCUCCCUUAAUAUGGUGAAAAUCACUUGGGAACACACCCACAAUCCUACCAUGGCUGGUAGAAAGGAAAUCACUUUGGGUUAUGUUACUUCUCUACUCUCACAUAUGCAGGACAAUACGGAAUUCUUCAUCUCUGGUCAACAAAAUAUGCGUGGAUUGUUUCCUCCACACUUUAGUGUUUACAAGCAAUUGUUUACAAGCAAUUCUCCAGCAGAUACCAGCUGGGUUUCUUGUCGUUCAAUUGACCUUUCUUGACAUUAUCUACCUGGAGACAGCGACAGAUCCCACAGUUUGUGCAAUUAGUCCCACAAGAGCAUUUUCAGUUCAGAGGCCCAUUGCCAAGUUCCAGGUUGUAACCUGCACUUCUGACCAUGUCUGGCUAUGAAUCAGGGUCCCGUGACCUCCCUCCUUGGGAUUCAUUAGUUUCCUCACUGAACUCAGGGAAGCACUUUACUUGCAUUUGUCCAUUUAUU